UAGUGAGAUCUUGUCUCUACCAAAAAAAAAAAAAAUCAACAAAAUGCAACCAAAAGAAUGGAUGAGAUGGCCCUAAAAGAAUGAGGAUUACAUUUAAUGAGAAGACAUGUGGGAUGAAAUACCUAGUGAACAAUAUUUAAGGGAAACUGAAGUGCAAAUAGCCUCACAGGUUUGUUUUUGUGUUUGAGACAAGGUCUCACUGUUGCCUAGGCUGGAGUACAUUAGCACGAACAUGGUUCACUGCAGCCUCAGCUUCCUGGGCACAAGUGAUUCUCCCACCUCAGCCUCCCGAGUAACUGGGCGUAUAGGUGUGUGCCACCACAUCCAGCUAAUUUUUUUAUUUCUUUAUAGAGAUGGGGUCUCAUGACCUUGUCCAGGGUGAUCUUGAGCUCCUGGGCUCAAGCAGUUCUCCUGUGUUGGCCUCCUAAAUUGCUGAGAUAAUUGCAAAAUAUGAUAAAGAACAAGGACUCUGGGAGGCCAAGGUGGGUGGAUCACUUGAGGUCAAGAGUUCGAGACCAACCUGGCCAACAUGGCAAAACCCUGUCUCUGCUAGGAAAAGAAAAACACAAAGAAAUUAGCCGGACGUGGUGGCACAUGCCUGUAGUCCCAGUUAUGCGGGAGGCUGAGACAGGAGAAUUGCUUGAACCUGGGAGGUGGAGAUUGCAGUGACCCAAGAUUGCAUGCACCACUGCACUCCAGCCUGGGUGACAGAGCGAGACCCUGUCUCAAGAAAAAAAGAACAAGGACUCUACAGACAGACAUCAUAUAUUAGUUUGAAUCCUGGCUGGCUGUUAGCUGUUGGACUUGGGUAAAUUAUUUAACCUCAACUUUCCCUGUCUAUAAAAUGAGAAUUAAAAAUUGUAGAACUUUAUAGGGUUUUUGUGAGAAUUAAAUAGGAACAUUUGUAUAAAGCACUUAAAACAGUACCUGGCACAUACUACGUGUAGUAUAUAAUUGUUAACUCUUAUUAGCAUUCUGUCCCUUUUAUUUCCUAAAUAUCUCUCAUGCCCAUCUCUGUUAUUCUUUUGGCUUAAGACCUCAUUUCCUGCUUAUCUAUUGACUGGACUGUGGCAAAUGCCUGCUAAUUGUUAUUUUUGUGUUCAUUCAUUUAGCAAGCCAAUUUAUUGCGCGCGUAGGGUGCUGCCAGGGCUACAAAAGCUAUUGAGACUGUACUUGAUAUCAAGAAGCUUCCUGAUUAUCAUGGGAAGACUGACAUAAGGAAGCACCAUAAAAUUCUGCUGUAUGAGAGGUAUACACAGGGGUUACUGGGGGUUGACAAUUGAGGGUAUGGUCCAUUCAACAUGAGCGGGAUAGAAACAAUUCAUAAAGGAGAUGAAAUGUCUUGAGGAAUGAGCUCUUCCUUAGAAGAAUGGUUUUCAAAUGAGUGUGCAUCACAAUCACCUGUAGGACUUGUUAAAACAGAUCGCUGGGCCCUACGCCCAGAGGCUGUGGUUCAGUAGGUUGUAGUAAACCAAUAAUUUUUUGCUGCUUCCCAAGGCCACACCUUGGAAGCGACUGCAUUAAAGAAGGCAUUAUUUCCCAGUCCUUCCUCUACACAGCUGUCAAAACAAGGGUCCUGACCAUUUCAUCUUUGCACUACAUCCUUCACUGUCUCUCUUUUGCCCAUAGGAUAAGUACAAACUAGAUCUGGUUACUGCCUGCCCCACCAGCCUCAGCAUCUCUCACACCUAGGACUAAGCUUUUCUUCUGACGACUAUAAAAUAUAUCCCUCAGCCACCAUGCUAUUCCUUGCCUUCUCAAGUUUGCUGUAGGUCAAGUUAAACUUUUUGCCUGGAAUGACUUGCCUUCUUUUUUGUUUUACUUAGCUGGCUGCUUUUCAUCUUGUAGGUUAGGUCAAGGACUCCAGGAAGUCUUCCCUGGACAAGUAAUGAAGAGGGGAUAAUCUAGGGACAAACUCCCAUGUUUGGAACCUGACUCCAUUUUCAGGCACGUAACGUCAAAUUCCUUUUAAAAGCACCUCUCUGUUAACGGUGCAGGUAAUGCUAUUCCCCUCCUCUACUCCAUACCAUUGCUGACGGUUACUGAGUGGGCUAAGGUAUGGGAAGGGCCAACUAGUCCAGCUGUUCACAAACAGCCCUUUAUGUCAAACUGAAUACUGCCAACCUAGUUCCACUUUCUUUAUCUAAAGACUCAGCUUGGAGUCCUUUCUGGGACUUGGCUGGACUAAAAGUAACCCCGCCUUGUCUGGUUUGUGACUUUCUCUACUCUGAUGCCCCUGGCUUUCUGCCUUCUAGAAAUUUGUCAGAAUUUCUGAAAUUCUUGGGCCUUCCCUCUUGCUCUAUAUAUGGUUUGGGAUUCAUUCCUUUUAAAAAAUAUUUACUGUCAUUUCAGUAGAAUUUUGACACAAUAAAUAUAAGCACAUCAGA
rnacentral:lncRNA from 1 species